rnacentral:rRNA from 1 species
UACGUAGGGUGCAAGCGUUUGUCCGGAAUUAUUGGGCGUAAAGAGCUCGUAGGCGGUUUGUUGCGUCGGCUGUGAAAUCCCGAGGCUCAACCUCGGGUCUGCAGUCGAUACGAGCAAACUAGAGUGUUGCAGGGGAGACUGGAAUUCCUGGUGUAGCGGUGAAAUGCGCAGAUAUCAGGAGGAACACCGGUGGCGAAGGCGGAUCUCUGGGCCUUACCUGACGCUCAGGCGCGAAAGCUAGGGGAGCGAACAGG